GACGAACGCUGGCGGCGUGCUUAACACAUGCAAGUCGAACGGUAAGGCCCUUCGGGGUACACGAGUGGCGAACGGGUGAGUAACACGUGGGUGAUCUGCCCUGCACUUCGGGAUAAGCCUGGGAAACUGGGUCUAAUACCGGAUAGGGCCUCUGCCUGUAUGGGUGGUGGCGGAAAGCUUUUGCGGUGUGGGAUGGGCCCGCGGCCUAUCAGCUUGUUGGUGGGGUGAUGGCCUACCAAGGCGACGACGGGUAGCCGGCCUGAGAGGGUGACCGGCCACACUGGGACUGAGAUACGGCCCAGACUCCUACGGGAGGCAGCAGUGGGGAAUAUUGCACAAUGGGCGCAAGCCUGAUGCAGCGACGCCGCGUGAGGGAUGACGGCCUUCGGGUUGUAAACCUCUUUCAGCACCGACGAAGCGCAAGUGACGGUAGGUGCAGAAGAAGGACCGGCCAACUACGUGCCAGCCGCCGCAGUAA
rnacentral:rRNA from 1 species